GGGGAAUAUUGGACAAUGGGCGAAAGCCUGAUCCAGCCAUGCCGCGUGUGUGAAGAAGGUCUUCGGAUUGUAAAGCACUUUAAGUUGGGGGGAGGGGCGGCAGGUUAAUACUUGGUAGUUUUAACGUUACCAGCAGAUAAGGCACGGGCUAACUCGGUGCCAGCAGCCGCGGUAAUACGAAGGGUGCAAGCGUUAAUCGGAAUUACUGGGCGUAAAGCGCGCGUAGGUGGUUUGGUAAGUUGGAUGUGAAAUCCCCGGGCUCAACCUGGGAACUGCAUCCAUAACUGCCUGACUAGAGUACGGUAGAGGGUGGUGGAAUUUCCUGUGUAGCGGUGAAAUGCGUAGAUAUAGGAAGGAACACCAGUGGCGAAGGCGACCACCUGGACUGAUACUGACACUGAGGUGCGAAAGCGUGGGGAGCAAACA
rnacentral:rRNA from 1 species